AUAGUGCAGCACUAAGUGGGUGGUAAACUCCAUCUAAAACUAAAUAUAACCAUGAGACCGAUAGUAAACAAGUACCGUGAGGGAAAGUUGAAAAGAACUCUGAAUAGAGAGUUAAAUAGUACGUGAAACUGCUUAGAGGUUAAGCCCGAUGAACCUGAAUAUCCAUUAUGGAAAAUUCAUCAUUAUGAUUUUAAUAUUAAUAAUAUUAAAUUAAUAGUGUGCAUUUUUUCCAUAAAGGACAUUGUAAUCUAUUAACAUAAAUAUAUAUUUAUCAUAAGAUCAAUGGUGCUUCAGUUUAUUCAAAUUAUUUUGCUUGCAAUUUAACAUAGAAUAAAUGCUCUUGAUUUGAUAAAGUGUUGAUAGAUUUAUUAUAUAUAGUGCUUAAAUAUAUAUAUUUUAUAAUAGCAUAUUAAUCAUUGAUUUUUAUGUUUAUUAUAUGCACUUAUAUGAUUAACAAUGCGAAAGAUUCAGGAUACCUUCGGGACCCGUCUUG
rnacentral:rRNA from 1 species